UGCAGGGUGGAAAAGUUGGUAAUUCGCUUGAUUCAUAAUCAAGAGGCCGUCGGUUCGAGUCCGACCCCUGCAUCCA
rnacentral:tRNA from 1 species